ACCCAGCUGUGUAUCUCCUCACAGCAAAAGCAGCAUGCAGUGCCUGGUGGCUGGCCAAAUUUUGAACCAGAACGCAGCUGCCUUGUUAGAAGGGCUUCCACUCCAUUAAUCCCACCAAAAGUAAACAGAAAUUAACCUUUUCUAAAAUAUCAAGCCACCAUCCUCUAACUCAAGCCUCUAAGGCUUUCAGCUACCAUGGUAAUUGCAACAUUACAAGAGCCUGGAGAGAACAAAAAGGAACCCCCUCCACAGCCUCUGCUUCUCUAUAGUCAGCUUCCUCUGUCCAAGGAAGCUUUCCUGUACUGCAGUUGUACUGCAGUCCUAUUCAUCACUUCACGUCUUCUACGUCCAUUCCUUUGAUUUAAAGGAAUUUAUCCUGAGUGCAGGUUAUCUGCGGAUACCUCAGGCAGAAGUACAACUUCAAAAUGAAUAUGAUUCAACACUUUCAGGAUCUUACUGUGAUAUUCCAAGCCAGACAGUGUGAUUUAUUUUUUUUUCCCUAGAUAAAACUUUAUUGGAUGAUAACGUUUCAAACCCAAGGAUUAUGGAUCUGGCAGGAAAAAAAAACAUUGUUUAUCCUGGAGUCAGCUAUUUAUUUUAUAUUUUAAGAGACUGCAGCCCUUUGGAACUACACUUCUGUGCUUGCUCUCUCAGAAGCACACAUCUGAAUGAAAACGGGAUGGAAUCAACCAAACUGUAGGAAAGAAGAGCCAGAUUUUCCUUUGAUUUAAAAGAGUUUUUAGUGAUCUAUUUUGAUACAUAGCAGAUUAUGGUUUGACUUGUGCACUUUUGAAAAAGAAAAUCAAUGUUCCCAGUCUCUGGUUCCACUUUGUGGUGAUACUGUGGUAUUUGAGGAUCUUGUAAUUGCCUUUGAUAACAAUAUGUAAAAUAAAAAAUGAGAAAUAAAUCUACUGGCUUCCUUGUUGAAGCAAAACUUCAACUCCUAAAUAGCAUACAGAGACCUAGAUCAUGCUUCUGAGUCUUUAUGGCCCUAGACCAUACUUCUGGGCCUUUGUGUCCCCGAGGUUACAGCUGGGAAGUUCGCUGCAGUUAAACACAAGUUGCAUUGUGGUUUAUGGUAAAUCAACACCUCCAUCUUAUAAAAUGUGUAAAAGCAGAAAAUGACUG